rnacentral:misc_RNA from 1 species
CCGAGUUAUACAACUCAUCAACCCUGUGAACAUACCUAAAAACCCGUUUUGCUUUUGGCGGGAACAGACGGCCCUGUAACAACGGGCCGCCCCCGCCAGAGGACCCCUAACUCUGUUUUUAUAAUGUUUUUCUGAGUAAACAAGCAAAUAAAUUA